AUUUUAUGAACUAACAAAAUUUCACCAAAAUUUGGUUCCUGGGAAAUUUUUGGGUCCUCUUUCCAAUACAAGUAUGACACACGUGAUCCGGGCACUCUGGGACCCCCCAAAAAUGACAUUUUUCAAAUGCCCACCUUAAUUU